UACGUAGGGGGGCAAGCGUUGUCCGGAUUUAUUGGGCGUAAAGAGCUUGUAGGCGGUUUGUCGCGUCUGCUGUGAAAUUUCGGGGCUCAACCCCGAACUUGCAGUGGGUACGGGCAGACUGGAGUGUGGUAGGGGAGACUGGAAUUCCUGGUGUAGCGGUGGAAUGCGCAGAUAUCAGGAGGAACACCGAUGGCGAAGGCAGGUCUCUGGGCCACUACUGACGCUGAGAAGCGAAAGCAUGGGGAGCGAACAGG
rnacentral:rRNA from 1 species